UCACCUUCUCCACAGUUACAAGCUACAGAAUUCAAAUCUGUAAUGGCUAAGGAUUCAAUGGGCUUUCUGUCUAAAGAUAUUUCAUCCUUUGGAGGAAGAAGGGCAGCUGAUUUCUAUUCUGUGCUUCCAAAGCAAGACAAGGCAUUGACUGAUCCCCAAGAAGGUACAAUGGAGAAAAUGGAGACAAUACCAAUCUGGUUGAUGAUAUGAAGCUGCUGUUGUGGAAGCUCACUGCACUCAACACCUCCAACAGCCCAGGUUCUCAAAGUUCGACCCAGCUGCUCCCAAGUUCAGCAAGAGAGCUUGUUUUUGGAAGUACUGUGUUAACGACUGACAAUAUUUUCACCGAAACAUCAACUGCAUGAUCAUCAGUUCUACGCAGAGCCAAUCUCUCAAUAAGGUUCCUGUUUGAGCAAACCUGGCGUUAUUCAACAAGAGGCUGCAGCCCAGAGGAUGUGUAAAUACUUUUGUAAUUAAGUAUUGAUAACACAAUGUCAAUAAAUAAUACUUUUGUAAAGAGAUCAGUUCUGUUGCUCCUUAUGAAACAGAACAUUUAUUGGUGUGACUUGUUUGUCAGUCUCAACUACAAAAUGGAUCAUCAUCUUGCAGGAUAAAUAAAAUGUUCAUAAAAUAAAAUCUAAGUGGCAAUAAAGGACUACAUUCAGUUUCUGAAAAUUAACUGGUAUUCUAAUUUGAGAGUGAAAGGUUUAAUACAAUGUUCUCCCAUUGGGAUAUGGCUGUACAACUCAGAUUUAGAAGAUGAAACUUUCAAUUUUCUUCAGGUGAGAAGAGUUUUAUAAGAAAUUUACUAUAAUGCAGUUACUUGUGGAUAUGGCUCCUCAACUCUAUGAUAGAGCACAGAACGGGAAUAAUAGUCUUGGGGCACAUAAUACAC